CAGAGUACCACGGGACACGUGAAACCCUGUGGGAAGCAGGAGGGACCACCCUCCAAGGCUAAAUACUACCUAGUGACCGAUAGCGUAUAGUACCGUGAGGGAAAGGUGAAAAGAACCCCGGGAGGGGAGUGAAAUAGAACCUGAAACCCUGCACUUACAAGCUGUGGAAGCACAUUUCUUGUGUGACCGCGUACUUUUUGUAGAACGGGCCAACGAGUUACGUUAAGUAGCAAGGUUAAGCACUUAAGGUGCGGAGCCGUAGCGAAAGCGAGUUUUAACUGAGCGUUCAGUUACUUGACGUAGACCCGAAACCGGGCGACCUACCCAUGAGCAGGAUGAAGCGAAAGUAAAAUUUCGUGGAGGUCCGAACCCACGAGCGUUGAAAAGCUCGGGGAUGACUUGUGGGUAGCGGUGAAAUUCCAAUCGAGCCCGGAGAUAGCUGGUUCUCCCCGAAAUAGCUUUAGGGCUAGCCUCAAGGUGAGAGAUACGGAGGUAGAGCACUGAAUGUCCUAGGGGGUAUUGCACCUACCGAAGACUAUCAAACUCCGAAUGCCGUCAUCUUAUACUUGGGAGUCAGACUGUGGGUGAUAAGAUUCAUAGUCGAAAGGGCAACAGCCCAGAUCGUCAGCUAAGGUCCCUAAAUGUAAGUUAAGUGGUAAAGGAUGUGGGAUUGCACAGACAACCAGGAUGUUGGCUUAGAAGCAGCCACUCAUUCAAAGAGUGCGUAAUAGCUCACUGGUCGAGUGAUCCUGCGCCGAAGAUUUCCGGGGCUAAAACUUACUACCGAAGCUACGGCAUCAGUAAUGAUGGGUAGGGGAGCUUCCCAUACGGGUUGAAGCAUGACCGUAAGGACAUGUGGACAGUAUGGGAGUGAGAAUGUUGGCAUGAGUAGCGAGAUGUGGGUGAGAAUCCCACAGGCCGUAAACCCAAGG
rnacentral:rRNA from 1 species